GAGGGUAUCUUUGUACCCCUAAUUCUACUUGGGACACUUGUCCAUUUUUACCUCUCGUCUCACUCUUUUUUUUCCAAUCAAAUUUUUGCACAGUCCCAUGCCUCUAACGCAAUAAUACUUCGGAAGAGUGAAUCUUUUUAUAUUUUUAAAACAAAAAGAUCCUGGUCUUUGGAGCAUGAUAAUUCUCUCACCCAAAACUACA
rnacentral:lncRNA from 1 species